rnacentral:rRNA from 1 species
UACGUAGGAUGCAAGCGUUGUCCGGAAUUAUUGGGCGUAAAGAGCGCGCAGGCGGUAUGACAAGUCAGAUGUGAAAGAGGCCGGCUUAACCGGCAAGGGGCAUUUGAAACUGUCAGACUAGAGUGCAGCAGAGGAUAGUGGAAUUCCCGGUGUAGUGGUGAAAUGCGUAGAUAUCGGGAGGAACACCAGUGGCGAAGGCGACUAGCUGGGCUGCAACUGACGCUGAGGCGCGAAGGCGAGGGUAGCAAACAGG